rnacentral:rRNA from 1 species
UGGGGAAUUUUGGACAAUGGACGCAAGUCUGAUCCAGCCAUGCCGCGUGCAGGAUGAAGGCCUUCGGGUUGUAAACUGCUUUUGUACGGAGCGAAAAGGUCUGCCCUAAUACGGUGGGCUCAUGACGGUACCGUAAGAAUAAGCACCGGCUAACUACGUGCCAGCAGCCGCGGUAAUACGUAGGGUGCAAGCGUUAAUCGGAAUUACUGGGCGUAAAGCGUGCGCAGGCGGUUAUGCAAGACAGAGGUGAAAUCCCCGGGCUCAACCUGGGAACUGCCUUUGUGACUGCAUAGCCAGAGUACGGGAGAGGGGGAUGGAAUUCCGCGUGUAGCAGUGAAAUGCGUAGAUAUGCGGAGGAACACCGAUGGCGAAGGCAAUCCCCUGGACCUGUACUGACGCUCAUGCACGAAAGCGUGGGGAGCAAACA